rnacentral:rRNA from 1 species
CCUACGGGAGGCUGCAGUCGAGAAUCUUCGGCAAUGGGCGAAAGCCUGACCGAGCGACGCCGCGUGUGGGAUGAAGGCCCUUGGGUUGUAAACCACUGUCAGAGGGGAUGAAGUGCACGUGAGCAAUCUCAUGUGUUUGACAUAGCCUCAGAGGAAGCACGGGCUAAGUUCGUGCCAGCAGCCGCGGUAAUACGAACUGUGCAAACGUUAUUCGGAAUCACUGGGCUUACAGGGUGCGUAGGCGGCUUGUUAAGCAGGGUGUGAAAUCCCUCGGCUCAACCGAGGAAUUGCGCCCUGAACUGGCGAGCUGGAGUGGGACAGAGGUGUACGGAACUUCCGGUGGAGCGGUGAAAUGUGUUGAUAUCGGAAGGAACGCCAGAGGCGAAAGCGGUACACUGGGUCUCAACUGACGCUGAGGCACGAAAGCCAGGGGAGCGAACGGGAUUAGAUACCCCUGUAGUC